GGGCGAAAGCCUGAUGGAGCAACGCCGCGUGUGUGAUGAAGGGUUUCGGCUCGUAAAACACUGUUGUAAGAGAAGAAUGACAUUGAGAGUAACUGUUCAAUGUGUGACGGUAUCUUACCAGAAAGGAACGGCUAAAUACGUG
rnacentral:rRNA from 1 species